rnacentral:rRNA from 1 species
UUGCUCUUCAACGAGGAAUUCCUAGUAAGCGUGAGUCAUCAGCUCGCGUUGAUUACGUCCCUGCCCUUUGUACACACCGCCCGUCGCUACUACCGAUUGAAUGGCUUAGUGAGGCCUCCGGAUCGACUUCGAGAAGCCGGCAACGGCAUCUUGUUGUUGAGAAGCUGGUCAAACUUGGUCAUUUAGAGGAAGUAAAAGUCGUAACAAGGUUUCCGUAGGUGAACCUGCGGAAGGAUCAUUAACGAGUUUUGAAGUGGGCUUGAUGCUGGCUUGUAACAGAGCACUGUGCUCAGCCCCGCUCCAAUCCAUUCAACCCCUGUGCACUAUUCGGAGUGUUGCAAGCUGAGACAAUGUGGGGAGUGGUCCCGGUUGUAUUUCUAAUGCGACUUGGGCUUACUUUCAAACGGUCAAGGCUUGUCCUCCGGUUUAUAUUACAAACACUUUUAUUGUCUUGUCGAAUGUAUUAGCCUCUCGUUAGGCGAAACUUAAAUACAACUUUCAACAACGGAUCUCUUGGCUCUCGCAUCGAUGAAGAACGCAGCGAAAUGCGAUAAGUAAUGUGAAUUGCAGAAUUCAGUGAAUCAUCGAAUCUUUGAACGCACCUUGCGCUCCUUGGCUAUUCCGAGGAGCAUGCCUGUUUGAGUGUCAUGUUAAUAUCAACUCUGAUGGUUUUUGUUAACCAUUGGAUGUUGGACUUGGAGGUUCGUGCUGGCUGCAAAGUCGGCUCCUCUUGAAUGCAUUAGCUUGGACCUGUGCGCGUUUGCUAGCGGUGUAAUACAUUUUAUUCACCACGGGCCGUGUCACUAUUAGGGUCUGCUUCUAAUCGUCUUUACCGGACAAUAAUAAACUUUAUGACUCUGACCUCAAAUCAGGUAGGACUACCCGCUGAACUUAAGCAUAUCAAUAAGCGGAGGA